UUUUUUUUUCAAACAUGUCCUAAUGGGUAAUUAUAUUAGGUUUGACCUGCUCAAUGAUUUUUAAUUAAAUAGCCGCAGUACUUUGACUGUGCGAAGGUAGCAUAAUCAUUUUGUCUUUUAAUUGUGGACUUGUAUGAAUGGUUUGAUGAAGGGGUUGCUUUCUUUAUGUUAAUAUAAUGAAUUUAAUCUUUAGGUUAAAAAGCUUAAAUUUUUAAAUGGGACGAGAAGACCCUAUAGAAUUUUAUUUUAUUAUUAUUAUUGUUUAUUUUGGUUUAUUAUUUUAUUUUAUUAUUAUUAAAAUUUUGUUGGGGCGAUAUUGAGAUUUUAAUAACUCUUAAAUUUUAUAAUUUAUUUAUAUGUAUUUUUAAUGAUCCUUUAAUUAUGGAUAACUAGAUUAAAUUACCUUAGGGAUAACAGCGUAAUUUCUUUUGAGAGUUCUUAUCGAUGGAGGAGUUUGCGACCUCGAUGUUGGAUUAAAAUUAGUCUUGGGUGUAGAAGCUUAAGUUUCUAGGUCUGUUCGACCUUUAAAAUUUUACAUGAUUAGUUUUCCAACCCG
rnacentral:rRNA from 1 species